AGUUAAAAAGCUCGUAGUUGAAUGUCUGGUCAAUUGUAGUCUUGGCUUCGGUCGGGCUAUGGUUGGUCAUCCGUUUGCAAGCUGCGCUCGGCCUUCACUGGUUCGGCGUAGUGAGCUGACAUUUUACUUUGAAAAAAUUAGAGUGUUUCAGGCAGGCUUUUGCCCGAAUACAUUAGCAUGGAAUAAUGGAAUUGGACUUAGGUUCAUUUGGUUGGUUAUUGGAUCUGAGUAAUGGUUAAUAGGGACAGUUGGGGGCAUUAGUAUUUAAUUGUCAGAGGUGAAAUUCUUGGAUUUAUUAAAGACUAACUUAUGCGAAAGCAUUUGCCAAGGAUGUUUUCAUUAAUCAAGAACGAAAGUUAGGGGAUAAAAGACGAUCAGAUACCGUUGUAUUCUUAACUAUAAACUAUACCGACUCGGAAUUGGUAGGGUAUUUUAGCUCUAUCAGCACCGUAGGAGAAAUCAAAGCAUUUGGGUUCCGGGGGGAGUAUGGUCACAAGGCUGAAACUUAAAGGAAUUGACGGGAGGGCACCACCAGGAGUGGAGCCUGUGGCUUAAUUUGACUCAACACGGGAAAACUUACCAGGUCCGGACAUAGUAAGGAUUGACAGAUUGAAAGCUCUUUCUUGAUUCUAUGGGUGGUGGUGCAUGGCCGU
rnacentral:rRNA from 1 species